rnacentral:rRNA from 1 species
UUACGGCGUGGGACUACCAGGGUGAUGCUGAAUGCCUGUGUUGAUGCCCCACGACUUUCGCACAUGCAGCGUGCAGUUACAGACCAGAAAGGCGCCUUCGCCACUGGUGGUCCUCCAGAGCUCUGCGCAGUUCACCGCUACACAGGGAAUUCCACUUUCCUCUUCUGCACUCAAGUUUUCCAGUUUCCAAUGACCCUCCACGGUUGAGCCGUGGGCUUUCACAUCAGACUUAAAAAACCGCCUACGCGCGCUUUACGCCCAAUAAUUCCGGAUAACGCUUGCCACCUACGUAUUACCGCGGCUGCUGGCACGUAGUUAGCCGUGGCUUUCUGAUCAGGUACCGUCAAGAUGUGCACAGUUACUUACACAUUUGUUCUUCCCUGAUAACAGAGUCUUACGAUCCGAAGACCUUCAUCACUCACGCGGCGUUGCUCCGUCAGGCUUUCGCCCAUUGCGGAAGAUUCCCUACUGCUGCCUCCCGUAGGAGUCUGGACCGUGUCUCAGUUCCAGUGUGGCCGAUCACCCAUCUCAAGGUCGGCUACGUUAAUCGUUUGCCNUUGGGGUAAAGCCCCGUUCAACCCCUUAACCCCAAAACCUAAAGC